AUACGUAGGGGGCGAGCGUUGUCCGGAAUGAUUGGGCGUAAAGGGCGCGUAGGCGGCCCGGUAAGUCUGGAGUGAAAGUCCUGUUUUUAAGAUGGGAAUUGCUUUGGAUACUGUCGGGCUUGAGUGCAGGAGAGGUAAGUGGAAUUCCCAGUGUAGCGGUGAAAUGCGUAGAGAUUGGGAGGAACACCAGUGGCGAAGGCGACUUACUGGACUGUAACGUACGUUGAGGCUCGAAAGCGUGGGGAGCAAACAGGAUUAGAUACCCUGGUAGUCCACGCCGUAAACGACGAAUACUAGGUGUCGGGUUUCUAUAGAGAUUCGGUGCCGCAGCAAACGCAAUAAGUAUUCCACCUGGGGAGUACGUUCGCAAGAAUGAAACUCAAAGGAAUUGACGGGG
rnacentral:rRNA from 1 species